rnacentral:misc_RNA from 1 species
GGAAGGAUCAUUACAAAACAGUAGGAGGCCUCUGCGUCUACCUAUCCGCUCCCAGCCCUCCCUCGCCGGAGGGUUGAAUGAGUCCCUAACCCAUUGUGAACUUACUAUAACCUUUGCUUCGGCAGCACGCCCUACUCUUGCGGGAGGGUUGGUAAGGCUGCCGACAGCCCUCAGAAUCUUAAACUAUUACGUUACAAAACACUUGAAGUCUGAUUACUGUUUCGAAUUUUAAACAAGUUAAAACUUUCAGCAACGGAUCUCUUGGUUCUCGCAUCGAUGAAGAACGCAGCGAAACGCGAUAGGUAAUGUGAAUUGCAGAAUUCCGUGAAUCAUCGAAUCUUUGAACGCACAUUGCGCCUUCUGGUAUUCCGGUAGGCAUGCCUGUCUGAGCGUCAGCAAUAAACCUCGGCCUGUACUUUUGCUAGUUCAGCGCUGGUCUUGGGUUGCGAUUGCCGGGACUUGAUUUACUUCUCGUCUGCUGCGCCCACCCUAAAGUUGCUGUACGACCGCGAGCCCCCCUGCCGGCUGGGUCAAUGGAGUGGUGUUACAAUCUUCCAGAAAAACCUGUCGACCGAACAGCUACGCGGCGUUAAACCUGGCCGUCUCCCCGCUUCCCGCGGGAGACCGAAGUUUUGACCUCAGAUCAGACAAGGAUACCCGCUGAACUUAAGCAUAUCAAUAAGCGGAGGAAAAGAAACCAACAGGGAUUGCCUCAGUAACGGCGAGUGAAGCGGCAAGAGCUCAGAUUUGAAAUCCUGUACGUUAGCGUGCACGAGUUGUAAUCUGUAGAGAAUGUUUCGGCUGAGGCGCCGGUCAAGAUUCCUUGGAAUAGGAUUACACAGAGGGUGAGAAUCCCGUAUCCGGCUGGCGGUCAAGGCUAUGUGAAACUUCUUCGACGAGUCGAGUUGUUUGGGAAUGCAGCUCUAACUGGGUGGUAAAUUCCAUCUAAAGCUAAAUAUCUGCGAGAGACCGAUAGCGCACAAGUAGAGUGAUCGAAAGAUGAAAAGCACUUUGAAAAGAGAGUUAAAAAGUACGUGAAAUUGUUGAAAGGGAAGCGCUUGCCAUCAGAAUCGGUUCCGGUCGAUCAGCGUUCCUUCUGGUUCGUGCACUCGUCCGGCUUCCGUGCCAGCACCAGUUGGGGCGGCAGGACAAAGGCGUCGGGAAUGUGGCUCUCUUCGGAGAGUGUUAUAGCCCGGCGUGUAAUGCUGCCAGCCCCGACUGAGGACCGCGCCUUGUGCAAGGGUGCUGGCCUAAUGGUUGUAAGCGGUCCGUCUUGAAACACGGACCAAGGAGUCUAACAUCUAUGCGAGUGUUUGGGUGCUUAAACCCAUACGCGUAAUGAAAGUGAACGGAGGUGAGAGCCGCAAGGUGCAUCAUCGACCGAUCCUGAUGUCUUCGGAUGGAUUUGAGUAGGAGCAUAGCUGUUGGGACCCGAAAGAUGGUGAACUAUGCCUGAAUAGGGUGAAGCCAGAGGAAACUCUGGUGGAGGCUCGCAGCGGUUCUGACGUGCAAAUCGAUCGUCAAAUUUGGGUAUAGGGGCGAAAGACUAAUCGAACCAUCUAGUAGCUGGUUCCUGU